GAUGAACGCUAGCGGCAGGCUUAACACAUGCAAGUCGAGGGGCAGCGCGGGAUAGCAAUAUCCUGGCGGCGACCGGCGGAAGGGUGCGUAACGCGUGAGCGACAUGCCCGUUGCCCGGGGACAACCGGUGGAAACGCCGACUAAUCCCCGAUGGGAUAUUGUGCCGCAUGGCACGAUAUUGAAAGUUACGGCGGCGACGGAUUGGCUCGCGUCCGAUUAGCUGGUUGGCGGGGUAACGGCCCACCAAGGCUGCGAUCGGUAGGGGUUCUGAGAGGAAGGCCCCCCACAAUGGGACUGAGACACGGCCCAUACUCCUACGGGAGGCAGCAGUGAGGAAUAUUGGUCAAUGGGCGGAAGCCUGAACCAGCCAUGCCGCGUGCGGGAAGGAGGCCCUAUGGGCUGUGAACCGCUUUUGCCUGGGGGCAAUAAGGGCGUCGCGCACGUCCGAUGAGAGUACCAGGCGAAUAAGCAUCGGCUAACUCCGUG
rnacentral:rRNA from 1 species